UUCUUAUUAGUUUAAUGGUAGAACAAGAUAUUCCUAAUACCUUAGUCUAAGUUCGAGUCUUAGAUAAGAAA
rnacentral:tRNA from 1 species